AGAUAAAUGGAUCCAGAUCAGAAAGUGUCCCCAAAGCUGACUGGAAGAAGAGCAAUUUGGAUGGGUCGGUCAUAACCUAGGGGACAGAGGAACAGUUAUUUCAUUAGAGCAUAAAAGCCUCUGUUCUCUAAGAGUUCAUCUCGAACCGCUAGCAACCCAGCGAGGAGGGCAGUAAAUCUUCGCCUACGGCAAUUUCAUUCCUGCCCUAUCGGCCCGAGCCCUAUCUUGCCAACACAAGGCUUCACCGUGGAGCUUCGGGAAGGAGACCCAUGAUCUGAAACUUCAGGAACCUAUGUAAUACACGCUGCUGGCAGAGCCCGAGAAAUGGUUCAAAAAUCCAUUAGUGGGCUGGCGAGAGGGCUCGGUGGGUAGAGGUGCUUGCUGUCAAGUCUGACAGCCUGAGUUUGAUCCCCAGGAUCUGUGUGGUGUGUCCUGACUUGCAGUGUGGUCUUGGCUAAUACAUCACUGUGACUUUGGAAUAUGAACGUGGAGACAGGCAUUGAAGAGGAGAUUGUAUUUAAUUCUGCCCUCCAGUGGCAAACAGAACAACCCAGAGAA
rnacentral:lncRNA from 1 species